ACAAAUCCAUGGGUCCGAAAUUUCACGCGCUCACCCAAUUUUCCCAAAUAAAUUCCUCCCAGACCCAUAAUUUCCGAAAUUGUGUUUUUUUUUCGUUAAUCCCAAACUGUCCUUCCAGAUUCUUAUUUCUUCGUUUUCUUCGCGAAACAGAGAGAAAGGCAAGAGAGAAGCUGCUUAUUUUCUUUGCAAGUGAUAUUCUCUUUAGAUUUCAACUUCCAAUUUUCCUUUCUAGGGAAGGAGCUCUACAAACUUAAAGGCGAUCCAGGAUUCGUUUUUCUUUUUUUUCAUUUGGCUUCAAUUUUUAUUUCGUUUGUCGUUGGGGGUUUUAUUGAUCUGGUAAGGAAUCUAUAUUUUUGUUGUGUUUUUUAUUUUCAUUUUAACAACUGAAUCUCGUUGUGUAUUAAGAUCCUCUCUUCCUAAGGAAUCUACAAACAUAAUGAUAUAGAUUAUUGCAUGAUAAUAAUCUCGAUCAAUUUUUACUUUAGAAUUUGGAUUUGUGUUUUUAAUUUUUAUCUUGUAUUUGAGAAUUUGGAGUUCCAAAUUUAGGGGUUUGGGGCAUUUAACUGGCUUGCUCUUCCUAGUUAUGCAACCUUAGAAAUGGGUUUGAAUCAAGGUUUAUUGGUGAAGUCAAAAAAAUUGGAAUUAGGUGUUAAUUUUGAUCAAUUUUGGCAGAUGUGACAAUGGUUUUAUGUGAGCUUGAGUUUGUUAUAAAGAGAGUGAAGAUACCAACCAUUCCGGAUGGGAGCGUGAGGGAUUUGUUUCUAAUAACGGUUACAAGGUUUGAAAACUAAUCACUUGGAUUGAUCUUGUUAUUUCAUAUUGUAUAUAGAAAGAAAAUUACAAGUGUAGUUAGAAUGUUAGUAUUGCUUUUACCUAUCCAAGAACACUCAUUUCGUACCCCGUUCAGAAUUUCAAAUAAUAAAUGAAUGAAUGAAAACAAAGAAGAAAAUGAAAUGUAACAAAUGUUCGAGACAUAGGUUCUGUUGUUUUGCAUAUUAUAUUGUAGUGUGCUUACUCACUUUAAGAAUGAUAAGAACAAAAUGCGUCCACAUUUAAUGGCAUCUAGGAUAGCUGGGCUAAGAGAACAUUCCAAACAUGUUGAGAAGCUUAUAAAAGAUCUUGGAGUCUUCACAACAGUUUAUCUUUCUGGUGAAGAUGCAUACCUUUAUGAUAUGGACCCUGAGGAAUUGGAUCAACUUGCUCGCGACCAUAUCAGCGAAAUGGAGCUCUUUCGAGUUUCGUACAACAACAAUAAACGAUGGAAUUUGGGGAGUUUGUAUGGCUUGGAAAAAAGGACUUAGAGAUGGUUCUUAUGAGAAAAAAGGACUUGAAUAAGGAAUUUGUAGCUUGGAUAAGUGGCUGGUUCUUACUGUGAAUUGUUGGUCUCGAUCAAGAAAUGAUGUGCAGCGACAAAGUUAGGUUCCGAAAUAUGCUGAAAUUGGCUAAUGCAACAUUGUUAAUUGAAUGAUUUGGAAAUUAUGUGUUGCCUGAAUUGACAUACAGGGGUUUUGGAGUGAGAUGGUCUAAUUUGGAAUUAUUUGAUUCGGUCGCAGAAAGUGCUUCGGAAGACAGAAAUGAAAAGGUGGUAUUGUUUCGUCCAAAUUCCUAUCUCAUUUUUGUUUAUUAUUGCAUUAUUUAUUGCGAACUGACAGGCUUCAAGGUACUGUCUAUUUUUCCAUGCCAUUGCUUGUAUAUUUGUUUAUAAUGCUUAAAACAUUUUCGAUAACUAGUUUAUGUUGUUAGACCGUAAGGAGAUUUGAGGGACCUCUGUUAUUAUCACGUACAACAAAUGCAAAUUUUUAGUUUAGUGCAGUUGUUAAGUUCAAGGUUGAGUGCAGAUUGAGAACUGAAUUUUUUCUUGCUGACUAUAAUGGUGGCUGGUAGUGACACACUAACAGUUACUGCUCAUGCCUUUGAUUGUCUUUUUUAUUUCAUAUUUUUUUAAUAUGUCGUUUUAAGACCCAAUGUUGUGUUGUGUUGUGUUGUCGUUGCAGGGGAUCAGGUGGAAAGAGAACAUAGGGAGGCACACUUGAAUUAAGAGAUGACGAUACGGUUAAUCCAAACGAUCCCAACCAUGACAGUAAUGAGAUAUAAAAGGUCCCCCUAGGAACGGCAAAUAGAUUUUUUCAUUUGAUAUGUUAUUAUUAUCCAUCUUUUGUAGUGUCUGCAUAAUAUGUUAUGCAUAACUUAACUAGUGGAUGCAUAAACCAAAAUAUGGUUGCAUAAUUUGUUAUGCAUCUUUUGUAGUGUCUGCAUAAUAUGUUAUGCAUCCUUUAUGGUGGCUGCAUAAUGGUAAUGUAUCUAAUUUUCGAAAUUUUUCCCUAAAAUGAUAAUCACUUCGUAUUUUUUCGUAAAAAAA